rnacentral:rRNA from 1 species
UACGUAGGGAGCGAGCGUUGUCCGGAUUUACUGGGUGUAAAGGGUGCGUAGGCGGCGAGGCAAGUCAGGCGUGAAAUCUAUGGGCUUAACCCAUAAACUGCGCUUGAAACUGUCUUGCUUGAGUGAAGUAGAGGUAGGCGGAAUUCCCGGUGUAGCGGUGAAAUGCGUAGAGAUCGGGAGGAACACCAGUGGCGAAGGCGGCCUACUGGGCUUUAACUGACGCUGAAGCACGAAAGCAUGGGUAGCAA